rnacentral:rRNA from 1 species
UACGUAGGGUGCAAGCGUUGUCCGGAAUUAUUGGGCGUAAAGAGCUCGUAGGUGGCCUGUCGCGUCGGCUGUGAAAACUCGGGGGCUCAACUCCGAGCUUGCAGUCGAUACGGGCAGGCUAGAGUUCGGCAGGGGAGACUGGAAUUCCUGGUGUAGCGGUGGAAUGCGCAGAUAUCAGGAGGAACACCGGUGGCGAAGGCGGGUCUCUGGGGCCUUUACUGACGCUGAGGAGCGAAAAGCGUGGGGG